GUCGGAAUCCGCUAAGGAGUGUGUAACAACUCACCUGCCGAAUGAACUAGCCCUGAAAAUGGAUGACGCUUAAGCGGAGUGCCGACACCCGACCGUUUCGGUAAAAUAACAAGCACAAGACCGAAAUGAGUAGGAGGGCGUGGCGAUUUUGUUUCGAAGGGUACGACGCGAGUCUACCUGGAACGGUCGCUAGUGCAGAUCUUGGUGGUAGUAGCAAAUAUUUAAGCGAGAUCCUUAAAGGGCGAAGCGGGGAAGGGUUCCACGCGAACAUUGAUUGGGCGUGGGUGAGUCGUUCCUAAGCCGGGUGGUAAUCGUUCUUACGAUCGGCGAAAGGGAAGUUGGUUAAAAUUCCAACACACGGAUGUGGAGGCGGCAACGCAAAUUGAGGUGGAGACGUUAGCGGUGACACUGGGCAGAGUUUUCUUUUCUGUUUAACCCGUUGUGCACUCUGUGGAAUUCGAUUAUCGAGAGAAACAGGUGCGCGCUUUGGGAAGAGCGUCGGGGCGUCCCCGGCGUCCAGUACGUCACCGAUAACCCUUGAAAAUCCAUCUGCAAUCUAAUUUCACGCCGUGGCGUACCGAUAACCGCAGCAGGUCCCCAAGGUGAACAGCCUCUGCUCAAUAUGAACAAUGCAGGUAAGGGAAGUCGGCAAAAUAGACCCGUAACUUUGGGAAAAGGGUUGGCUCUAGUGGAGCGAAGGCUUUUUUGGCCAUCAUCUGAUUGAUGGGUUGUCGGCUUGUUGUGGCUAGACCGUGGCAACGCGUUGUUUGGCUGUGACGAAUCGCUUCUCGUUGAUUGGUGGUGUUCGACCUUCAUCAUGCUCCAAACUAGAACUGCAACGGGCAAAGGGAAUCCGACUGUUUAAUUAAAACAAAGCAUUGCGAUGGCCGACGUCGGUGUAGACGCAAUGUGAUUUCUGCUCAGUGCUCUGAAUGUCAAAGUGAAGAGAUUCAAACAAGCGCGGGUAAACAGCGGGAGUAACUAUGACUCUCUUAAGGUAGCCAAAUGCCUCGUCAUCUAAUUAGUGACGCGCAUGAAUGGAUUAACGAGAUUCCUACUGUCCCUAUCUGCUUCUAGCGAAACCACAGCCGAGGGAACGGGCUCGGCGAAAUCGGCGGGGAAAGAAGACCCUGUUGAGCUUGACUCUAUUCUAAUUUUGUGGAACAAGUAAGGAGGUGUAGCAUAGGUGGGAGACUGGAGGUUUUUUCGUGCAAGCGGACUCUAGUCGUCAAUGAAAUACCACUACUCUUUAUCUUGUUCUACUUAUGGCGUUAAACUGCACGAUCCGUUGUGGUCUAUUACUUGAAUCAAUUCGGAGUCCAGUGUUUUUUGCAGACGAGUUUGAAAAAACCGUGUAAAUACUUUUUGAUAUUUCCGAUCAAACAUCGUUAUUGUUCUGUGUGUGAUAGUGUUAUCGCUAUUCACUUUAUCUGAAAAGCAGCGCGCCUGACAUAUUUAGGAGGGGAGUUUGGCUGGGGCGGCACAUCUUCUACAAGACAACGAAGGUGUCCAAAGAUAAGCUCAGUGAGAACAGAAAUCUCACGUAGCGCAAAAGGGUAAAAGCUUGUUUGAUUUUGAUUUUCAGUGUGAGUUAAAAACACGAAAGUGUGGCCUAUCGAUCCUUUCAUAUUUAUAAUUCGAGGUUUGAAGCGAUAGGUGUCAGAAAAGUU
rnacentral:rRNA from 1 species